GUCCUGGGGACAGGCAGAGUCUAGAUCAUCUGAUACCCCAGGGACCCCUCACACAUAGCACAGCCGUCAUUGCUGAUACGGAACUUGGCAGUUGUGUCCACCAAGUCCCAGGCCAAGGUCAGUUGAGCGCCCCUCCCCCAUCCAGCUGUACUCACCCCAUGGGGGUCCCGUUGCUGGCUAGCUUGGACAGUUUGGCCAUGGCCUUCGAGUAUGUCUCCUCGAUGCUGGCCCUGGAUCAGAGAAGGGACCAAGAUAACAGAUUACAGUCCCCAAGAAAGGCCUUUCCCUGCUUCAGUUUUCCUAUCUCUACAGCAUGCUCUCAAAAAAGACUUUUCCAAGUUGACUGGAUAAUUGUUUCCCGUGGGCAAUUUUGUAUUUCCUUAAGUAAUAUUUUUAUUUUAUUUCGUUGUUUUUGUUUGUUUGUUGUUUAUUUUGUUUUGACAAUGGAGCUGGCCAUGUGUGGCCUAGAAGGACCUUAAACUCUUGGUAAUUCUCCAGCUUCAACUAUCUGGGUUCUGGGACCAUGUCAUCAUGCUAGCAACAUGCAUGUUUUCACUUCUGAUCCCCCUGUGAGCAGUGAUCUUAAUCUCAAUAGAGGUGUCAGACCACUGGGUCACGAUUUUAAAGGGGCAUGCAGGCCAGGGCGAUGGCUCAGUGGAUAAAGGUGCUUGCAGCCAAGCCCAGUGACACGAGUUCAAUCCCCAGUACACACACACACACACACACACACACACACACACACACACACACAAUGGAAGCAGAGAACCAGGUUCUGAGCUGUCCUCUGCCCUUCACAUGUCUGUCAUGACAUGAGCACAACCCCUCCACACAGGUAAGUUCAAAAUAGAAAGUAAAAUAAAGAUAAACAAAGGCGUCUCAAGGCAGAAGUGAGCCUACAGGAUUGGAGGAAUUGGGAUGACUACGUCAUUUCACUCGCGGAACCCCAGUAGUUCUGCUCCCUUGACCCGUCCUUGAGUCCCAGGGAAGUUGCUUUGAGGGUGAGCUGUGGGCGUGUCCCUUAUGGGUUCGUCCCAGCACACUGUCUCUGAGUGGGCGUGGCCUCAGCCUCGGCCUCACCUUUCCCUAAUGAAGUCAGCCAGCUCCUUGGUGGCCACGGGUCCCUGCUUCACACAAUGGUAGAGGACCUCAAAGCCAUGGUUUUUGUCGCCCUGUAAGGGAUGAGAGAGGAGAUGUAGAAGUCAGAGAAGGACAUCUAGGUUGCCUAGCAACACGGACAAGCCUUGGAGACCACGAAGCCAAAUGGCUGCCGAGGUGGGAAGAGCCCUAACCCAAUCAGCGGGCUGCAUGUUCCCACGGGUUUGAGGGAAGGAAGCAUCCCUGAGACCUCCACUUCCUGGUCUCUGUGGCCAGAGGUCUACUUAAUGUGUCUUCCUCUGUGGUCUUCCACCUCAUUUCCUGAGUCCGAGUCUCUUAUUGAACCUGAAACCCGUAACUAAAGCCCCAGAGAUUCUUCUCCCUCCAACUCACCAACGCUAGGGUUAUCGCUGGGUUCUGUCCCGCACGCCAGUUUUUUACAUGGCUGCUGGGGUCUUGAAAUGAAAUCCCGAUGUUUGCAAUGACAAGCACUUCUCAUCCACAUCAGACUCAUGCCCAAAUGCCCCAGCCGCAGACCGCCAUUCCUCACUUUGUUAUCAGUGGCCCCCACUGUCUAACAGCUGCCGACACUCCUAAAGUCCUUAGAGUAUUUCUGGCCCCCCACCCCCAGCUUCCCUACAGAUCUUUCUAUAGCUCCAUGGCUACACAGAGCUCCAGCCUCCUCACGGGGUCAUUAUUCCUCCACCCCAUAUUUUCUUUCUUCCAACUUUAGUGUGCUGGGCCACUUGGGGCAGUGGCUGCACCUCUCUGAGCCUUAGUUGUGUCUUGUGGAAAAAUAGGGUUGAUGGUAGCAGCUGCCACACAAUGGCGUUAUGAGUGAGAUGCGUCUGGCACUCUGCUAGACAUGAAGGCCUCUGGGAAAUAAUGAGGGCUCCACACACAGCUCCCACUGAGCCCACCUGCUCAGCUGGGGAUCCUCGGGUGAGGCUGCACCAGGCACUGCCGCCCAGGGCAUUAUCUGGAGCUAACAUAGAGCUCCACUGGCCCGUUUCCCGGCCCUGGCAAGCCCUCAGCCCUGUCUGCCUCCACAGAGUGGGUAGGCAGCAAGGGUCUGAGGAGGGACUUCCAGGGCCUGUGUCUCUGAUCAGAACUCCUGGGUGACAGCCAAAAAGCAUUCUAACACGGUUUGGGUUUGAUAUCCCUCUACUGCUUACACAUCUGCCAUGGCUCCCCAGAGCUCUCUAGGCUUUUGACCCGGACUUACCUCAAAGGAACUGGGGCACCCCUAACACCAGUAAGCACUGGGCUUUUGGUGAGGAGCUAGGGGCAUGGCUCAGAGGUGGAGCCCCUUCCUAGGAUCCCCCACUGAGGGGCUAGGGCGUGGCUCAGGGGUGGAGCCCCUGCCUAUUACAUGUAAGGCCCUGAGUUCUAUCCCCAGCAGAGCAAAACCAGAAAAGGAUCCCAGUACAUCAGCCACAGACCCAUGUCCCACAAGAGGCAACUCCCAUUUCCUGUCCUACCUGGGCAUGUGGAGGCUGGUUGGCCAGCCCCUUCCUGAGGAGAACCUCCGAGCCAGUGGGAUCCUGAACCAAAGGUCUGAGCCCUUCUCAGCCAUGCUAUCUUGGGGUAUGCAUGGGAGGGAAGUUGGGGUGGCUUCUAUUUUCUCUUCGCUCAUUGACUUCUCCUUCCCCCGUUUUCACACCUCGUGGAAUAUAAAAUACAAUCCACGGAGGUGCUAUAUUACCACUGCUCCUAAAUGUGGGUGUCUUUUUGGGCUGCUACUGCAGGACAGAGGUUCCAUGCAACUCAGAGGACAACACCUCGGGGGGUUACCCAACCAUUCAGAGGCCAUAGGAGAAUCGGUCUUAGGGAGAAGUCUGAGCCCUGCAGGCUGCUCGAACACCCUUGGUGGAUCUCCAGUUCCCUGGACCAACAGGGAGAAGACCUCAGCCCUUGACUGCCACCCAGCGUCACACCUCUCAGAUGGAUUCAGGAUAUUUCCUGAAGUUGGAAUGGCAUUUGAACAUCCUGAAAAGUAGCCUUCAGGGCCGCAGCAAACCGGGCUGUGGGAUCCCUGAGAUGGCCUGAGCCUCAGGAUCAGGUUGGCUCUCUAGGUCCCUAAGAAUGGAAGUGUGUCUCUCAGGCUCAGAUGCAGCUGUCUGAGAGUCUCUUGUUCCCAGAUCUGGUUUGCAGCAGGCCUAGAUGGCCAAGGGUCAGGUGCAGAGGUCAGGAGGGAGUCAAUUCAACCCUUUAAAAAAACCCCAAAGUCCCAAGAUGGAAAUACACAGAAUUUCCCUGGUUGGACUGGCUCUGAUCUGGGAAAUUUGGUCUGGCCCCAGGUGCGAGGCCAUGCUAUUCUGACAUGUUAUCUGCGGGAACAUGUUCCUCUAUAGCCCAGGCUGGCUUGGAGCUGCCAUUCUCCUGCCUCGGCCUCCCUCAGUCUGUGGUCCAGGUGUGUACCCCGACACCCAGCUCUGUACUGCUAUACUGUGUGAUUUUCAGAACACAUACGCUGCUCUGGGCCAAGUUCUCAGUGCCUUAAUCUGUUCCUUGCUCUGCGUCAAGGCAACCCAUGAUUUAACCUCUGCCUUCCGUCUGCCUAGUCUCCCCUUGACCAUAAAAGUCCCUCCAUCCCUUUGUGAGCCUCCACAGAAAUAACAGCAAAGAACAAAAUAAAAAGAAAGUGGAAGAAACAGCGGGUCUUACCCAAAAAUGUUCCCCAAAAUAGGACAUCCUGGUAGCCUCUGUCCUGAGUCUGUCUGGAAAGAGAGGUAGGGUGGAGGGCCUGGGCCAUAAGCAAGGGCUUGAACAGGGGACCCCCCCUUCCCUGAUAUAGGAGGACUGGGGAAGUGAGGGCCCAAGGCCAGGAGCAGGCCCCAACCUUUGUCCUGUAGUUCUAGGCAACAGGGACACAUGUGUACCAGUCUCAUGGGGCUGGGGCAGGACAGAGGGACAGGAGCUGAGAGGGAGGGAGCAGGUGGGGUUUUUAAGCGUGGAUAUGGGUUUGUGGGGCCAGAGUGGUAUGGGAUGACCUGAACUCUAGACAAUGGUUCUGAGGCAUUUCAGACGUAGGGAAACUGAGUCACGUCCCAAGAGGAGAAGCUACUUGCCAAGGUCAAAUGUCAGGAAGGGAUAGUGGAUUUUGUGUCUAAAACAGCUGGGUGAUUUCUGUGGGAACAGGCUAAGCAUGAUGAACCUGGGAGGGCAGGGUCCUUCUGUCCCUGGUCCCAUCGGGGCCCCAUGAGUACCAACCACCACUCAGAAGCCACUCUUCUCCUGGCUCCAAGUCACGCAGCUCUGUGCCUCAGUUUCUCCAUCUGCAGGAGAUAGAACAACCAGAAAAGAUUUAGCCAGAGACUCCAGGUCACUUUGUAUAGGGGUGGGGCCAAGCAACACCAGAGGGAUGUGCAGAAUUCUGGGCACAGGGAGGCCCACUGUCACAGGAGCCUCUGUCCUCAUCCAUACUUGAUGAGUUACUGGGCUGUGUGGCGACAGCUGGAGCCCAGGAGGCCCAACAACAGAUGAGACAGGUCAGCUGGCCACAGGACUGGACUACCGGGGCCCCACUGGGGAGGGACUCACUUAGCCCUUAGCCUCAGUUUACCUAACAUUGAAAUUAACUAUUCCUUUUUUGUUGUUGUUGUUCUGUAGCCAAACCUGGUCUGGAACUCUGGGUCCUCCUGCCUCGGCCUCUGGGGACUCAGCUGCAAGUCACUGUACCUGACUACAACUGAUGGGGAGCAGGUGGGAACUGGGCACAGGUCCCCCAGUCCAGCCUGGAGAGGCAAUGUGUCCCAGAUACAGGGAGGGUGCUGGGAACUUGAGGCCAACAGGAGGGAUUUGGCAGCUAGGGUCCUCCAGAUUAGGAGUCCACUGGGCAUGUGAUAAUUUCAUUUUCAGAUGGAUGCCCUCCAGCCUCAGGUUGGGCAAUGCCUCUCUUGUGGUAAGACAAACUGGCACUCCAGGGAGGAAAGCCACAAAUGGCCAUAUUGUGAUGUGAGGUUUGUCUUUGAUUUUUUUUUAAGCAGAGCCGUACUCUGUAUCCUAGGCUGACUGCUAAUUCAGGGUCAUCAUCCUGCCUCAGUCUCUGAGGUACUGGGGUGACAGGCUGGAGCACUACAUCACCUUCCCCCCAUAUCCUGGUGUCUACUGGGGACCAGGCAGUCCAUCUGAACCUCCUAAUGUGUGCCUAAGGACCAGGACCCUACACCAGUGUGGCAACUUCAUCUUUCUCUGAAGUAAAAUCCGUGUCUCCCAUGUGCCAAGCACUCUUGCACACACACGCUUGGGGAUCCCUCUGGGAAGACGGCAGUCAUCUUUGUCAGGCCUGAUAACUCUGCCAGGUUCAAGAGGCUCUUGGACAAUGGUUUUCCAGAAGCCAUCAAUGUCCCCAAAGCUCCUGUUAGACAGCACCCUGCCACCAUCCCCUACAUAGAAGCCCUCUGAGGGGGCACACUUCAAGUUGUCCCCUACCCCACCCAGCCAGACACAGUUAUUGGAGCCACAAUUGCCCGCCUGGCUGCCCGGAACUCCACCCAGCAGGCCCUGACAGGCCACAACCUGUACCCAGGUCAGGGUCGACUAGAGAGUGGCCAGAGGUGGCACCAAGGAUAGGCCCAGAUGCUGCCACCUGGCCAGGAAGUGACAGGGACUGAGACCGUUGGCCCCAGACCGGGAACCACAGCUCUGGGAUCCCUUUCCAUUCCGGGAGACAAAGAUUGGGGCAAACUCACCGAUGGGCACUGAGGAGUUGUGGCCUUGAGGGCUGGGGUAGGCACCCGGAGGUAACCCCUAACACUUCCGCCAGCAUUAACUGGAGGCCUCUGUCUGGGGGAGGACAGGAAGCCCGGCCCGCCCUGCCUGCCACCCAACCGUCACCUCCCCGCCCAGCACCCCUGGGACCUCCCCACAGUCACAGCACAACACACAGAUGGGGGAGGUGAGGGAGCAGGCCGGGGGCGACGUGACUCUUACCAGAGAGACACUUAGACACCCACAGAUCCUCUACCUUGGCCCGAGCUGGGUCUGUAUGCCCAUGAGGGGAAACUGAGGCUUGGAGACAGGUGAAGCCUCAGAAGGGGAAACUCAAAUAUUCUUUACAACUUCUUUAGGAUCAACAGAUUAAAGUAUGUUUUUAGACAUGGCCUCAUGUAGCCCAGGCUGGCCUAGAAAUUCUCUAUGUAGCAGAGGAUGACCUCAAAUGUUUGAUUCUCCUGCCUCCUCCUCUGGGCGCUGGGGUGACAGGUGUGCACCACCAUGCUUGGCUUUGUUUGGUACAUAAAUAUUAAGUACUCCAAGGCAUCUCUCAGUACCACGUUCUUGGGGUUUGGUUUGGUUUGUUUUAACCUGUGUGAUAUGGAAGGACAUUAAAACACCACUAUAGGCCUCUGAAAUAUUUUGGCCUAAGACAGUUUACCUAAUGUAACCCAGGGCUUUCUGGCUUCUGCAAUACUAGAAUAAGGUCUAGGGACAGACACUUACCCAGAGGCACACAGCAAGCACCCCAUCCCUUGACAAUGAGUCCCCAAAACCUAAGGCUUGACUGUGUGAACAGCACCAGGGAACUGAAUCAGGCAAGACCAGACCAGAGCUGCACUCUGGGGGUUGGAUACAGGCUGGCUGUGCCCACAACCAUUGACCCCUUGUUGUGUGAUUUUCACUGCCCCCCGAACCCCAGCAGGAUUCCAUGGGGAAACUGAGGCCUCUGUGCAAGCCUUCGGCUGAGUCAUUUCAUUUGUCAAACAUACUUUGAGCACCACUGUGUACCCAGUCCGUGGGCUGGUGACUCUGGUCACACCCUUUAAAGACAUCCCACUGCCUCCUUGGCUGUGACCCCAUUUAAUGGAUGCAAUAUCAUAAUUACUACCACAGGAGUGGGUGUUUACAGCGUGUCCUCACUUCCACAACCACCUCUGAUCUUCCCACAGGGUUUCGGCCCAUUUCACAGAAGGCUCAGUCAGUCCAGUCUGAGCACACAAAUUUGGGGGUGUCAGGCUUCCUGCCUGGAACUUACCCUACUAUCCUGCCAGAGGCAAGGACUAAGCCUGGGACCCCGCCCAGAAACCAGCCCAGGAACCCUGUUGUAGGUGAUGAGUCUGUCUAUGUAGCCCAGGCUGGCCUCAAGCUGCAGACCUUCCAGCCUCAGCCACCGGAGGACUGGAAUGACCACACCAGGCUCAACUAGGAAAACGGAGUCUACCCUAACAUUUGACCGAAGAUUGUGGUCCCCACCUGGAAAAAUGGGGCACAGUCUCCCGUUCAGGGACACAAGGCGGCAGCAUGAUCCUCAGGAUACCUGAGCCACCUGGUCCCCUGCCCAAGAAGCACAUCCAAGAAUGUGGGACCACUGGGCUCGGGACAACCGGAAAGCCAUGUGCCUUCAUCUUAGCUCUGCCCCAAAUGACGCUAGGUUCCAAUGGCAAUCACGCACAUCUGAACACCAGCUUCGGGGCCGACGAGAGGGCUCAGCAGGCAAAGAUGUGUGUGGCAAAGCCUGGAUUUGAUGAGGAAGUCCUGAAAAGUAUUCUCUCACCUGUGGGAUGUGCACACUACCAAUCAAUCAAGUAAUCAUCUUUCUCAUCAAUUCGAACAAUAAAGAUUAAACACUUGGAUGGGCUCCCACACCCAGUUGCCUCGAGGUAAGAGAGCCUGCUCUCCAUUUAUGAACCCACGCCGUUUCCAUUUUCCACAUGUCCUUUUUCUGCCCCAAGAGCCCUCGUAACACUCAGACCUCUAGUCACCUUUGGCAUCUGGGUUUUGAGAAUGGUAACAACAGCAUCUCCCUCCCCUCCCCCCAUAAGUGUGUGCUCACACACCUUUGCCAUGUACACGGAUGGAGUGGGUGAAAGUUCCAGGAGCUGAAGUGAAGCCAUCAGAGUCGAAUGGAAAGGGCUUUGACCUGUAAUCACUCUCAUCUGCCAUUGGCUGGUUCUUACGGCAGGUGCUGGCCUAGAACUCAAGACUUGAUGCUUCAGCCUAUAAGAAAGCAGUCCCAACGAGCCAUAGGGAACAAGCCAGUAAGAAGCACCCCUCUGUGGCCUCAGCAUCAGCUCCUGCCUUCAGGCUCCUGCCCUGUGUGAAUUUCUGUCUUGACUUCCUUCAGUGAUGACCUACAGCCAGUGAUCACAAUAACCCCACCCCAUUACUUUAUGGAGCCUUUAAUGGAACGAGUUAGGAGUGGGAAGGCCUCCCAAGGCUAUAAUCACUGCGGAGCGAACCACUGACUGUCAUAGUACUUCCCGCUUGGAUCCCAGCACUUCAGAGGCUAGCCUGGGCUCCCAUAUUAAAAACUUCUGGGAGGCAUCUGUUCCUGAAAAUUUGGCCAUCGCCAAUGGGUCCACCAAUAACUCCCAGCUAAAGGGCCGGGAAAUGAUAGACACAUUAGGAGGCGUGGCUUCAGUUGGAGGGAGGGAUCACCAAUCCCCUUCCUGGGCUCUGAGAGAUGAGAGGGAGAGCUCUCCCACGAUGCUCUGAUGCAACAAGGGCUGGCAAACUAUGAUCUAGGUGACCCUGGUCUGAGCCCAAGAUGCACGCCAGGCCCUGCCCACUCCCGCCUUACAAGAACCUCCCAACACUAUGGUGUUUGGGGGGGGGCAUAAGGUGGGAUUGGGGUGUCUGCGCACACUCAGAUGCAGUUCUACACUGAGCCACGCCCCCACCCGCCAGCUCCCCUUCUGAUUGGUCCUCUUCUCGCCUUUAGCUCUUCUAGCUCCAAAGCCGCUUGGGACCCGCGGGAAGGUUACCGGGUGUGGGCUCUGUCCUUCCCGCUCGGCCGGGAACUCGGGGGAUGUGGUACCUCAUACUGUUGUCAGACGAGGUGUCGCCCACAUUCCCAAACCUGACCCUCUUUGUAAACCUGGGCCAGGGGCGAGCUCGCUGAGGAAGCCAAAGCUCAGAGGCUGCGGCUAAGACCCAGGGUGGCGAGGCUGCAGCCUCGGGAACGCGCCAGGGCGGGGAAGGCGCAGUCCCGAAACAACAGCGCGAGUCUCCUGAAGGCUCCUCCCCCUCCCGCACUCCCCCUCCGCUUCGCACGCGCGUGCAUGAAUAUAGGGUCUUUGCUGAACCUCGGGGACCAGCAAACCCAAGCAUCUUCCUUUCUCCGCCAUUGAGAUUACAGAGACGUGCCGCUUUUUUUUUUUUUAACUUUAUUUAUCUUAAUGUAUGUAAGUACACAGUCGCUGUCUUCAAACACACCAGAACAGGGUUUCGGAUCCCAUUGUGAGCCACCAUGUGAUUGCUGGGAAUUGAACUCAGGACCUCUGGAAGAGCAGUCAGUGCUCUUAACUGCUGAGCCAUCUCUCCAGCCC